CCUUCCACCAUUAUUUAAUUAAUUUAAUUAAUUUAAUGGAGAAUCAGCAAAUGGAAGAAAAAGAGGAGAGCCUGGAUUGAUCGAUGACGUGUUAGAUCAAGUGGGGGCAUCGCAGCCUCUCUCUCUUCCUCCAUAGCCCCCACCAAACUCUCCAUAGCCCCCACCAUCUCUCAGAGUCCUCCCCCACAUCAUUUCCCCUUUCGUUUUUUUAUUCUUUUCCUUCUCAGAUAUUUUUUCUCUCUCUACUUCUCUCUCUCUCUCUAAAUUCUCUCAUGAAGCUUCUUCUUUCUUCUUCGUCAGGCAUACGCUCUCUACCUUGUCUCCUCCACCAUUGAAAUAGAUCUCCUCAUCUUCAUCUCUUCCCUCAGUUCGUCUCCGCUUCUUCCAUGGACGCCACCGACCUUGAAAUUUCCUCUCAUCCUUGCGUCUCUCAGGCUGCAUUCUCCUUCUUUUGCUCUAUUCUAUUGCCUCUACGGCUUCCGAGCUCCCAAUUUUGCUGCUUCAGGACGGAAUAUCCGUUUCGUCUUUGAGCUAACGGUUUGUUUGGCUGCCGAGAAAAUUUUGAGAAAUUAUAAGCGUAAACGGAGGUGGAGCUGGGAAUCGUGUAAUUAUGGACUUAUCGCAUGCCCUACGCGGCUAAAAGUCGAUAUAAUGAAGGAAGGUGAUUUUGUUUCCGGGACGCCUACUUGGGCUCUGAAGUCAGGAAAUUAUAUUGCGAUAAGGACAUGAAAUUGCUCUUGAUGCUGUCUAUGUAAAUCAAAUUGCGUGAACGAGUUCUCUAAAUUGAUGGCGCCAUAAAGGAGAAAUUGAGCUUAACAUGACACUAGUUAGGGGUCCAUUGCUAGUCUGCGAGCUAAAGGAUCAAAGUCAGGUACGCAGCUGGAACUGAAUUUUAAUAGCAUCCUGGUUUCUUAUAAUUAGUAGAAAUAGAAAGUUGCAAUGCACAGACGUUUCUAUUGACAAGAACAGAAAAUCUGUAAAUUGUUGCCACCAUUAGCAUUUUGGCAUAUGAUGCCUUUGUAUGGAUGUAGGACUUGAUUUAUAUGAUCAAGGAGCGAUGCACAAUUGUUUUCUUGCCCUAAUUUCUUUUAUGGUUCCAUUUACCUCCUAUAUGUACAGCUUUAUAGAGAGGUUUUUGGUCUAGAAAGGAAAAGUGGAACUGGGAAAUUCUCUGAGAGAUUUUUGGUGCCUCUGGGAUGAGUCUUAUCAGCAGUUGCGUUCUGACCCUUGUUCAGAGCUCCCUGCUUGAAUUGAAAUACCUCAAACUAAAAAGAGAUUCCCCUGGAAAUGGUGAACCAAUUUCUUAUUACUGAAACAACUUCACGAAUGUGAGAGCAGACAUAUUUGACGCUUUGUCUUAGCAAUAACCUCUAUUCCCAAUUCCCAUUGUUACUGAACUUUGGGAGGUUAGCCAUUCAUCUUUGCUCCUCGAUUCCACAUCGUGUUUAGGAUUAAUGCCUGAACUUCCAGGAAAUUGCAACUUUGUUACUAUGAUCUAUAAAGAAACAUGAACUAUCUUUUAAUGGAAUUAUUUUGAAAGCUGUGCAGCUUUAGGGGCUUUGUCUUUAUGUCGCGUGUGUGGUCUCUGGACUGAUCUUUUCCUUCUGCAAUUGCAAAUGGCGGGCAUUAUGGAUUUGGCGGAUGAAACAGCAUUAAAUCUGAAUUGACUUUGCCAAUCUAGUCUGUCCAUAGUCUUCCUGUCAUCUAAGUCGUUUCUUUUAGGCGUUUCAUUGAUGCGACAAGACGGAAGGAAAAUAAUCCAAUUCUUGAUCGACACCAAGUCAUCAAGGUUGGAUUGAACUAUGAUUUUAACUUUUGCUCAUGAAUUAGACAAUACACAUUGAAUUGGCAACUAGUUAUACAUGGAAGUCCUUUGCUAUCACAGUUUUCUUUCUGUGACAUACAAAUCACUUUAUCGUUUAAGAGGUGAACUUUAAUCGACAAGUUGGAAGAAGGAAUAAGUGGUUUGAGAUUAUGUGCUCUUGUGUGUUAUUUCUGUGACAGUAGAGAAGCAAAACUUGCUUGCGAACAACAUAAACAAUGGUGAAAUCUGGAUUUUUAAUUCAAAAAAUCUUUCUAAAUGCGUUAUUUUGGACAGUCGUUGUAGCCUGUACAAAAUGGAUUCUGAGAGGACUGCUUCUUUGGCAGUUUAUGUUUCUACUUUUUGAACUUUUUAACGGUAUCUUCUUAACUUUGUACUAAGAUUUUUUUUUUUUCUCAUAUUCUUUUACCUUGUUGCUAACUUAUUAUUCACUGCGAAGCAGCUGAUGAUUUUAUUGUGAACACCAUAUUUCGUCACGUCUGAUUGAAAAUUUACUUCUGCUAAAUACAACACUUUUGAUAGGCUAAUGUACUUGUGCAAUUGUAUGGCUUCAUUAUGGUUAUUAAUAAUAUUUUCUAUUUAUUUCUUAGGAUGGGUGAGUUGCAAUUUCAUUCGAGUGUAUAGACAUAAUUUAUGAGCAAUAGAAGUUUGUAUAUCUAGGUAGGAAGGUAAUAUGAAAAUUGCCACCAAAAUAAUAUUGUGAGUGAAAGCCAUAAAACUGGUGCAUUCCAAUACCACCAAAGGAGACCACUUGGGCCAUUAUAUGGAGGCUGCUCAGAUGAUAUGUGUUCCAACUUCCAACUUCCAACAUACAACCAUGAUUUCAGCUGCGUGGCACUUUAGAGUUGAAUGGGAAUUUCCAGAGUAGGUAUUAUUGCAGUGGAUUGAAUCAGGACACAGGUGGGAACUGAGUUUGGAAGUGUCUCUAUGACUGUCUGUUAGUAAAUUCUUAAAACUAGAUUCUAACAGCUGACUAAAAUGAUUCUGGAUGAGGCUGAUAAUAGGGGGGUGAUGAUGAUAUCGUAAAGGAUUUAUGGCUUGGAUUGUGAUUCUGAAAAUGAUGAUGAUGAGGAGGAGAACGAGGUUGUAGGCAAAUGUUGUUGGAGAGGAAUAUUCUGCCCGUAUUUUUUGUUUGCACCCGUGUCAGCAGUUUCUAUAUUGAUUCCGAACGGGCUCAUCAGUUUUCAACUAUAUUGCUUUUCUACAUGCUGCAGUUUCAACAAAAAUAUCAGUGGAAGUUUAUCAGGCUAAGCAUGUUGAAGUUUGGCUCACCAUAGAUGCGGAGGAGGAAGCGGAAACAAAAGGUUGCAAGGAGGAGCAGCGGGAAAAGGAGAAGAAGUCUCAACAAGAGGAGUUCCAGUGCAAGCGACCGGUCGGUUUUGUCCGAGAGCUCAAGGUUGUUUUCUGCUCCAAAGCGAUCGAUCAUCUACUCCCGACAACCGGUCAUCACGUGAACAAGGUUGAAUGCAGUUUUGACAUUUUGGGGUGUUUCAACGUGGUUUCUUAUUAUUUUGAGAAUUUCUAGCCCAAUUUAAUAGGGUUUUGAUUUCAUAUUCCUAAUUAACUUGUAAUUAAACUCAUGUGCAUUAUAAAUAUGAUUUUUAAGGGUAGGUUAAAAGUAAGAGAGGACAAUUCAAGAGAGAAAGACAAGACAAAAUUCAAUGGUGAAUUCUUAAGUGUUUACAAGGGCAGCAAAAGGUUUGAGAGAAAUUAAGACCUAGGUUUUGAGAGGAUAGAGAGCUAAGGGGGUUCUUGUUGUAACCAAAGUGGUUCCUAUUCUUCUAGUGAAAUUUAUCGAGGGAAUCACUAAAGAGGACGUACGCA